UCUCAUUUCAUUCAGCGGGUAGUAGCUGAGUUUUGGGUUUGUUUUGCAUUUAGUGGAUGAGAAAUGAAAGUGAGUGAGGAGAGAUCUGUGAAGACGAGAGAAUGGAGAAUUAUUGGAUCAAGUUAAGGAACUCAGGUCGUAUUUGACCCGAAUCUGUAUCUAACAAGAGAACAACAGGGAAGAACGGCGACAGGCUAGUGGAGAUAGAAAUCAACGCCGGCAGUGGUGGUUUCUAUGAUGGGUUUCGACCAAAUUUUGGUGUUGGCUAAUGGUGGAUGUUGCAGUUCUAAAGAUUAAAAUGGAGACGAAUUUAGGGAUUUCAGUGGCGACGACGACAAGCCUUUUGUCUGGUGGUCAAAUUGUAGACGAUUGAGAAGUUAAAUCAGGAUGAAUUGAAGAUAACAACUGGUGAUGGGCCGAAUCUGUUGGAGUCGUGGGACAGUGAAGACAAGGUACAGAUUUUGGGGUGUUCUUGAUUUGGUAUGAACUGAAUUUGAAGACGACACCAGCAAUAGUGAAUAUAGCAACAUCAAUGGGUUUGAUUGAGCUUGGGGGUAUGAAUUGCAUGGAGUUAAUGGUAGCUGUCUCUGAGAGUUGAUUAAAACUGAAAUUCAGAGUUUGAAUCGAACAAGGAUGAUGGAUACAAAGAUUGUGAAGCAUGGGUUCACAUUCAAUUUGAAAUUACAGUGACAACAAUGGGUUUCUGGAUCGAAUUGGAAUUGGGGUUUUUAGAAGCAGUAUGAAAUUGGGUUGAGUUCGAGUAGCUCCAUGAGCUUUACAGUUGAAGACUAAGUGCUGCUGCCAUUGUUGUACGCUGAGAAUUCAGUGGUGUUAUCGCUGUCAGUGGAUAGAUGGUGAUUCAAUUGAACUGGGUAGAUUGAGAAUGGUGCAAUUUGGUAUUCAGAUAUGAUUUCACAUCAAUGAGGAGGCAAAGCUAGGUCUGGAAAUGAGAUCAACUUUGAAUUUUUCAACUGUGAAAUUUGCACAGCAACAUGGAAGUGGAGGUAUGUAUAAUGUCUGGAUUUGAUGUGGAGUAUGGCUCAGAUGGAGAAGGAAUUAUGGGCUAGCUGGACUUGCUCCGCUCUGUAUCGUGCUGUGUGAUUAAGUGGGUGAACUGGUGGCAAUUGGUGGACGAGACUGAGAAGGUUCACAAGACAAGAAUUGGUGGUCCAGUGAGCUGGUGCUGUAGUUGGUCUGGGAGGUGUUUAAGGGUCGAAAAUGAAUGGGCCUGUGGCAAUACUUUAUGCAGUCCAGUGAGAUGGCUUCACAACACCUAUAUAUACAUCAGUUUGACACAGACUGGAGGAGACACGCCGUUUUCAGGGAAGAAAUUAGAGCACUCGAUCCAAGUGUCAUGUGACAUAUGGUUAACCAAAAAUAUUUUGACGAAUUAUACAAGAAGUUCAAUACACUGACGGCGAUUCAUGAAGAGAUUCUUAAGAAGUACGACGAGUCUCAAGGAAACAUCAACAAAUCCAUACACACUGAGGUAGAGGCGAUGGAAGAUAGGAUUCUUCACAAGCUGAAAACUGGUGAUAGGUUGCUGCAAUCACUACCUGUACCUCUAUUCCAAGAUAGAUCUACAGCCGGGAGCAAUAAUGAAGGUAAUCGUCAAGUCUCACCUCAAUUCUCUAAUCCACAUAAACCCAAGGUCGAUUUUUUUUCUAAAUUCGAUGGUAUUAACCCUAGAUCUUGGAUUAGGAAGUGUAUUAAGUUUUUUCAAUCACAUACAAUUGAUGAGGAACAAAAAGUCAUGUUAGCCUCAUUAUACUUAGAAGGUAAGGCAGAUAUUUGGUUUCAAGAUUAUCAGGAAGGAAAGUAUAUGAUUGUAGGGGAAGAAUUUGUAUUGAAUCUGUGGUGUCCAAAUGCUUAUUAUGCUUUAAUUUUACUCCUAGUUGACAGAGUAAGUUCAUUUAUACCAGAAAUCUCAA